AGCGAACGCUGGCGGCAGGUCUAACACAUGCAAGUCGAACGAACCUUUCGGGGUUAGUGGCGGACGGGUGAGUAACACGUGGGAACGUGCCUUUAGGUUCGGAAUAACUCAGGGAAACUUGUGCUAAUACCGAAUGUGCCCUUCGGGGGAAAGAUUAAUCGCCUUUAGAGCGGCCCGCGUCUGAUUAGCUAGUUGGUUGAGGUAAUGGCUCACCAAGGCGACGAUCAGUAGCUGGUCUGAGAGGAUGAUCAGCCACAUUGGGACUGAGACACGGCCCAAACUCCUACGGGAGGCAGCAGUGGGGAAUCUUGCGCAAUGGGCGAAAGCCUGACGCAGCCAUGCCGCGUGAAUGAUGAAGGUCUUAGGAUUGUAAAAUUCUUUCACCGGGGACGAUAAUGACGGUACCCGGAGAAGAAGCCCCGGCUAACUUCGUG
rnacentral:rRNA from 1 species